rnacentral:rRNA from 1 species
UACGUAGGGGGCAGUAGUCGUUCGGUUCGAUUUGUGGCGUAAAGAGCGUGUAGGCGGCCAGGUAGGUCUGCUGUGAAAACUCGAGGCUCAACCUCGAGACGUCGGCGGAAACCAUCUGGCUAGAGUCCGGAAGAGGAGAGUGGAAUUCCAGGUGUAGCGGUGAAAUGCGUAGAUAUCUGGAGGAACACCGGUGGCGAAGGCGGCAUCCUGGACCAACACUGACGCUGAGAAGCGAAAGCAUGGGGAGCGAACAGG